UUACACCAACGUGCACUCCUCUGUCGUCCGUUCGUUGCUCACGCAAGAAAGCGAAUGAAGAAAAUGAAGGUUUUGAGAAGUGUUAAAGUAACUUGGCUUCAUCCGGGUGUCCUCCUAUUUAUUUUAAUUUAUUUUUUGUUGUAUUGCAAGAGCAUCGAAAGCCAUAGAAUGCAUGAAGGCAGAAAUGAAGGAAUAACAAUUUGUUACUGCAAAGUCGAAGCCGAGGGAAAAUGUAACUGUGUCUUACACCAGUCCAAAUAUCAGCUGCACAUGGUAGCACAUAGAAAUCAGACAGUGCAGAAGUGAAAAACCACGUAGAGGGAUUAGAAACCUCACUCUGGC